UUCUGUUUUCACUGCUCUGUUGGUGUCCCCCCCACCAGCUGGCCUUCCUGCUGCUCAGCCUGACUCGAGUCUGCUUGCAACUCUACCGCGUGGCCAAGAAGGGCGUCCGCAACUACUGGCGCAAACCAGGGAACUGGCUGGAGCUCGCCAUAGUGGGAGCCAGCCUCGCCUGCCACGCAGCCUCCAGCCACCUGGCCACGCUCGCUGGGGAAGUGACGGACGACUUCCACAGAGGAUGCUUCCGAGGAUCUCUGGACCUCAGUCUCGCAGCCUCGUGGAAUCAGAGGGUGACCUGGCUCCGGGGGACCCUUUCGCUCCUCCUAACGCUGAAGUUCAUCUGCCUCAUGGGCAUCCAGAGCACGAUGGCGUCCUGCUCCUUCCUGCUGCGUCGCUCGCUGGCUGGCGUCUACACAGCAGGGCUGGCAGGCAUCCUGACACUGGCCGCGCACUGGCACCUGCGUGCAGUACCGCCGAGCACCCUCGCAGACUUCUCCCGAGGCCUGCUGUUCCGUCUUCCAGGAAGAAGCCAAACAGACACAUCCUGCGGUCUUUCCGAGUCUGACCUGUGGGCCCCGGCUUGGUGCUGCGGGGUCCUUUUCAUAGUAGUGAGCAUGGCGUGGUGGGGAAUGGUAUGUGCAUGAGUCCCAGAAGUCAGG
rnacentral:lncRNA from 1 species